rnacentral:rRNA from 1 species
CCAGCACCCCGAGUUGUCGGGACGAUUAUUGGGCCUAAAGCAUCCGUGGCCUGUUCUGCAAGUCCUCCGUUAAAUCCACCCGCUUAACGGAUGGGCUGCGGGGGAUACUGCAGAGCUAGGAGGCGGGAGAGGCAAACGGUACUCAGUGGGUAGGGGUAAAAUCCAUUGAUCUACUGAAGACCACCAGUGGCGAAGGCGGUUUGCCAGAACGCGCUCGACGGUGAGGGAUGAAAGCUGGGGGAGCAAACCGGAUUAGAUACCCGGGUAGUCCCAGCUGUAAACGAUGCAGACUCGGUGAUGGGUUGGCCUCGAGCCAACCCAGUGCCGCAGGGAAGCCGUUAAGUCUGCCGCCUGGGGAGUACGGUCGCAAGACUG